GACAGAGGGGGCAAGCGUUGCUCGGAAUCACUGGGCGUAAAGGGCGCGUAGGCGGGCGGUCAAGUCGAGGGUGAAAGCCCCCAGCUCAACUGGGGAAGUGCCUCCGAUACUGGCCGUCUCGAGGGGGAUAGGGGCGUGCGGAACUUCCGGUGGAGCGGUGAAAUGCGUAGAUAUCGGAAGGAACAUCGGUGGCGAAAGCGGCGCGCUGGAUCCCUUCUGACGCUGAGGCGCGAAAGCCAGGGGAGCGAACGGG
rnacentral:rRNA from 1 species